CCAAAAAUAAUUUUGCUAGCCUCUAUGACGCCAAGUUGAAGCCCUAAUUCCCCAACUCCUCUUCCGUUAGUUCGUUCACAAAACCCCUAAAAAUACAGAGGACAUAAUUCUCAAAAUCUUAGCAGUGAUCAUCAAACUUGCUUACAAGGAAUAAAGAUCAUGAGAUUCAGAAAAGGAAGUAGAAUUGAGGUGUAUAGCCACAAAGAGGCACCGUAUGGUGCGUGGCGAUCAGCGGAGAUUAUAUCGGGUAAUGGUCAUACUUAUGGUAUUAGAUAUUACUCUUUCGAACUUUCCAACAAUGAGGCUGUUGAGGAGAGAGUUCCAAGGAAGAUGAUCAGGCCGUGUCCACCUCAAAUAGAUGUAGAUAGAUGGGAAGCUGGUGGUUUGGUUGAGGUUCUUGAUAACAAUAUUUCCUGGAAAGCUGCUACGGUUCUGAAGGAGUUGUCUGGAAGAUAUUAUGCGGUUCGGUUGCUUGAUGCGGCGGUCGAACUCACAGUUCACAAAGUGAACCUCAGGGCUCGGCAAUCUUGGCAAGAUGAAAGAUGGGUUGUGGUUGGAAAGGUAUCUUGUUCUCUCAAGUCCUCUACGCUGACUGGAUCAGAUGUAGACCAGAAUCUGAAGCCGCUUUUGAACAGUGUGGUGCCUCAGGAGACUAGUAUUGCUUCUGUGAGAAUGUUGAAGAGAUCGUCACCCUGUGAUUGGUCUGAGUCUGCUGAAUCAUGUACCAGAAGUCCUAAGAAGGUAAGAGCAUUGGAGGAAGAGAGAUAUCAGCACUGGUUUGCUUCUUCUUCUUCUUCUUCAGCGGAGAAGGCUGCUUCUGAACGUAUGGGUGGUAAAUUGAAUGUGCAAGCUUCGUUUAACAAGAAGAUAACUGGUUUCCGACAAAUGGUCAGGGUAAGAUCAAAAAGAUUUAGUGAAUGUGUUGGUACUGGAAAUGGUUGUUAUGAUACUGAUGCAUGCUCGGUUGGUAGUUGUAGCCCUAUUAGUUAUGAUGAGAAUGACAUACCAACUUGUUUUCUAGAUGGUCCUAGUCAAGGUGCCGACUCUUUUAGUAGUGAUGCAGAAUCUUCAGAAGAAGCAUUUGGGCUCAGAGAGGAAGCUAGUUGGAAACAUUCGUUAGCAAGUGGUGGAGCAGUGAGAUCCUCUAGGCCUGAACUAUACACUUACUGCAGAAAACUGGGGAAACUAUUUGCUUCCGGCCCCCUAAAUUGGGAUCAGGAAGCAUCACUAACCGAUCUCCGACUUUCUCUUAAUAUAUCAGUUGAUGAACAUCUGAUGGAGCUAAGACAUCUAAAGUCGGCUGGUGUUGGACAUACUUCCCUGCAAUGUGGAAUCAACUGUUAUAUGUUGUUCUUUUUUCAGAGGAUUCUUAUAAUGAUUGUAUAGACAGCAGAAGGGAAAGAACAGCUUAACAAUAUCAGGUGCCUGCAGAUAUGAUUGCUUCUAGAGAUCUCUUACUCUGAUGCUUGGGGUUUGAAUGGUGUAAAACACAAUGCCCCUUCUUUCUCAAAUACAUAACUGGAAUUUUGCUAGGUGUUUUUUGGCUAGAUAUAAUUGAUUUGUUUCAGGUUUUCUUGGGCUAGCUACGUGCACAGGCUUUGGACUGGUCCUAGCCUAAUGAGAAUCAUCUACAGUUUGGUUGAAUAAGUUUGUGAAAGAUUGGUAGUCUUUGCUCUUUCAGGUUGUAACAUUUCAACCUGACUUACAGAGGUGCGGGGGUUCAUAUGUUAACAUAAAUCAAAUUUAUCCAGCUACUAAUUCCUCUAAUUGGGCUGUGGCAUACUCACUUGUUUGUCAAGUAUAACUUCACUCUUCAGCUUAAAGAAAUUGAGAAGAGGAAGAAGACAGAAGAAGAAUCCUUGUGAAGAUGUAUCAUUCACUUUUUAGUUUUUAUACCUGUUAUAGACUCAUAUGUAAUGAUGUUCGUAUGCCUUGACUACUUUUUAUAUAAUAUCUGUUUUGUACUAGCUUA